UGACCCGUAACUUUUUAUUCUGCAAUCUGACAACACGAAAAAUUAUCGUCUGCUGGCUGACAUCUCGUGAUCUCAUUCAAAUGGAAGAUGGAGAUUUUUCGUAACUAGUAAAGCGUUUUUAUAAGCCGGGGCAAUUUGCAAAGUCGACAAUGGAAGGUGAAUUUCAGAGAAAACCAAAAAAGCCCAGCGCCCACUCAUUCACAAGUAAAGAGCGAACCGAAGAUGUAAACAUUCAAGAAAACCUUACCUUUUCUGAUAUGCACAUUUCUAGCCCAGUGUUAAAAGGUCUUACCAAAGCUGGAUAUGUAAAGCCAUCACCUAUACAGCUGGAUGCAAUUCCAAUCGGAAAGUGUGGAAUAGAUAUGGUAAUCCAGUCCAAAUCAGGAACUGGUAAAACCCUUGUUUUUGGUAUUGUCAUGCUGGAGUCUAUUGAUCUGGAAAUCAGUACAGUGCAAGGACUGAUUCUAGCUCCAACAAGAGAAAUUGCCUUCCAGAAUGCACAUGUCAUUUACACCAUUGGUUCAGAGCUUCCAGGCCUCAACGUUCAGGUAUUCAUUGGAGGGCUCCCAGUAGAAGCUGAUCUGGCAAAAUGUAAGUCAUGCCAUAUCGCUGUGGGGACUCCAGGACGUGUGAAGCAAUUGAUAGAAAAAGGAGCAUUGAAACCCAAAAGCAUGAGACUUUUCAUUUUGGAUGAAGCAGAUAAAUUAAUGGAAGAAAGUUUUUCUGAUGAUGUGAUGUGGAUAUUUUCUCAGAUGCCGUUAACUAAACAAGUAUUGGCAGUGAGUGCCACUUACCCCGAAGUGUUAGCAAAUUUGGUUUCACGUUACAUGAAAAAGCCGUCAUUCGUGCGUCUGGGCCAUCAACAACCUACUUUGCUGGGCGUCAAACAGUUUGUAUUUCGUGUUGCUUUUCACCCGAUGGCGCAACAACAAGCGAAAAACAAGUUUGAAGUUUUGUUGAAAAUGCUCAAGGUUGUCCAGUUUGGCCAGUGUAUGAUAUUUACAAAUGUACAAACCAGAGUCGAAAGCCUGGCAGCCCAGUUAUCAAGUUGUGGCCAUGCAGCUUUAUCGAUUUCGGGAAGUCAAACUCAGACAAAACGAUUGCAGACGCUCCUAAAGCUACGCCAAUACCAAUGCAAAAUUCUAGUUGCCACAGAUUUGGCGGCACGUGGAAUUGACGCUGAGCACAUCGAUUUAGUCAUUCACAUGGAUGUGCCUCGGGACGCAGCCACAUAUUUGCAUCGAGUGGGUCGGGCUGGAAGAUUUGGAGCGGCUGCCUUGACAUGCACAAUCGCAUGCGAGGGUAAUGAAUUGACUGAAUUGCGAUCCAUCAUCACUAAAACAAGAGCCUCCGUCCGAAUCUUGGCUUGUGACCAUUUGGCACCUAAAGAUCACGACUCGAGCCAACCAGAUACCCUGCUGACGAUUCAGGCCCUCGAUUCUCUUUGGCUUACUUUACCCGAGUUGGAGGGCACUGGUCUUGAGGGAGAAGGAAUGGCUGACAGCCUUCUCGGUGAUAUCGAACACGAUUUUUUACCCGGCCUGCAAGACAGUACUCGAGCACUAUUACCACAAGGGAAGAAGCGCAAAAAUAAACCACGAGCAAAAACUGUUUUUAAAACAAAGGAUACUGAAGAGGUGGAGAUGGAACAGGCCGUGGCGCAGCUAAGCAUUAGCGCUAAAGAAGAACAACCCAUACGGGCGACACAGCAAGCGUGGCAAGAUUGGUACCAGUAUUGGAUGGAUCACAUGCGACGCAAUAAGGCUUUGAUUGAACAGCAAGAGUACUUGACGUUGAUGUGCAGUGGCAUUAAGUAAAUUGUCGCACGCAAAGUCUUUGCGAAGAUGUUGCGUCCAGGCAUCCACAAAGCUCCAUGAUCUUGUUAAAUUUGGCUAUAAGCCUGUAACCACGAAGCCGCAGUGGUUUUCCGUCAGCGAAAUUCCACGCCUAAGAAACUGGGAAGGCGAUAUGAACGAUGGUCAGCAUCCGGAUUCGUCAUAUGCGUGUUUUACCAAACGC
rnacentral:misc_RNA from 1 species